AAGAAUGGGCAAGAAUGAAUGAGAUACAGGUGUUUGGCUAAUCAUUUCUUGCCGCAAGACUCAUUCUUCCCAAAAUGAAAUUUGGGUCUCAGCAAAAAAUCUAAUAUAUUUUGUGGCACGAAAAUUUUUCAUGCUCCAUCUUACCAAUUCUUCUUUUGUUCAAGUUUGAAACUCGAAUCCUCUCGGCUAAAGUCACUAAACCCUCGUCCCCCCUCUCUUUCUCUCUAUACAAGGUAAAGUUGAGAUUGAUCUCGAUCUUUUGAAGUCCUAAAGCUAAGAUCGACUCUCUCUCUCUGUACCAGGUAAAGCUGAGAUCGAUCUCAAUAUGUUGAAGUCCUAAAGCUAAGAUCGAUCCAAAGAGCUCAAAACCAAGGUUGACCACCAAUAUCAGUCCUAUAACCAUUAAGAGAAAGCAGCAUCGAUUAAGGUAAAUAUUAUGUAGCGGAUUUAGGUUUCACCACCAUUACAGGAUUUUCCACCCCAUUUAAAGGUGAUUGUUAUCAUUUGCAAGAAUAUAGAACAGUGAGACGACGACCGAAUGAUGCUUGUGAACUAUUUAACCUUCAUCAUUCAUCAUUUUGUAAUGUAAUAGAACGAUGCUUUGGAGUGUUUAAGGAAUGUUUUCAAAUUUUGAACCACAUGAAGCCUUACAGUAUUAACACACAAAGGCGUAUAACCAUUGCAUGUUGUACACUUUAUAAUUUCAUUAGGCAAGAGACAUUACUUGAUCAAGAA